CCUGAUCUAUUGAGGAUAUGUCCAUGUCUUCAUCGUUCGCCUUGUAUGGUUUCUGAUAUGCUGUUAAGUAAAGCACACAUCACAUCUCUUCCUACAUGAUGUGGGUCUAGGAUAUGAACUGAACGUUGACAUUUCUUCAACUGGUCCUCCAAUUCCAGGAAACUUUUAUCACCAGACAGGACAGUAAAAGGAAUUUGCUUGGGAAGCCGCUCAUCUAAACGACCAGCAUGAAUACAUAUGGCAAAGUCGGCAGCAUUUUUAAGAUGAGAGCAGCGAAGGUGAAGGAAAAAACAGCCAGUAUUGUUGAGAUGCUUGAAUAAUUUUCAGUCCAUUGGAGGUUUCCAUGUGCCCUUCCCUCCUUGAAAUCCCCACACAAAUGUUCCCUGGUUUAGGUAUCCUGGUAUUGUAAAAAACUGGGCCCAGUUGUCCAAAUCAAUAAAAACAAUGUGGGUCAUUGUUCCAAGGAAAUCUAAAUCUGGUAAUUCCUGCAGUUUUGGUUUUCCUAUCUUCAUGGCAUCUUUCAGAUUUCUUUUUUCCCGUAGAUCAUCCCUUUUCUCUCUACGAUCUUCUUUUCCUUUGUCCUUUUCAUCCCAGUCUCUUGGACGCUCUCUUUCUCGCUCUCUGCCCCUCUCUCGUUCUCUUUGACGCUCUCUCUCCCGCUCUCUUUCGCGCUCUCUGCGCUCUAAGUCCCGCUCUCUCUCGCUCCCUUUCACGUUGUCGUUCUCUCUCGUGCUCUUCUCGUUCUCGUUCUCUCGCUCGCUCUUCUAGUUCUCUUUCCCACUCUUUUUCUUUUUUCUCUCACGCUCACGAGCUCUCUGACGUUCAGACUUGCGCUCUUUUUCUCUCUCUCUUUCCCUCUGCUUGUAAAGGGUGUAUGUGAUGUCAUAGCUGAGUGUAGGACUUUGCACAGCUGUGGAUUUGCUGUACUGCCUGCAGGAGAUUUAAACAGAUGUUUAAAAAAAAACUGAAAGGUCAGUUGGUUCUAAAAAUAGCACAGAUUUAACAAUAUUGCCUGAUCCGCCCCUUUCCCUAAAGAAAAACACACAAAUAUAUAUAUAUAUAUUUUUUCUAAUUUAAGGCAUCAAGUUCUUGGCAGCACCGAUGACAAACAUGCCUUUUAAUUUUAUAAGGAACCAGGAGCGUUAAAGAUCCAGUCCAAAAAUAAUUUUAUUUCCAGUAGGCUUCUUCUCAUUGCUUCCUUAAUAGCAGUAUCUUCAUCCUGUUCUAUUGAGGUUAUGUCCAUGUCUUCAUCGUGCGCCUUGUAUGGUUUCUGAUAUGCUGUUAAGUAAAGCACACAUCACAUCUCUUCCUACAUGAUGUGGGUCUAGGAUAUGAACUGAACGUUGACAUUUCUUCAACUGGUCCUCCAAUUCCAGGAAACUUUUAUCACCAGACAGGACAGUAAAAGGAAUUUGCUUGGGAAGCCGCUCAUCUAAACGACCAGCAUGAAUACAUAUGGCAAAGUCGGCAGCAUUUUUAAGAUGAGAGCAGCGAGGGUGAAGGAAAGAAAAACAGCCAGUAUUGUUGAGAUGCUUGAAUAAUUUUCAGUCCAUUGGAGGUUUCCAUGUGCCCUUCCCUCCUUGAAAUCCCCACACAAAUGUUCCCUGGUUUAGGUAUCCUGGUAUUGUAAAAAACUGGGCCCAGUUGUCCAAAUCAAUAAAAACAAUGUGGGUCAUUGUUCCAAGGAAAUCUAAAUCUGGUAAUUCCUGCAGUUUUGGUUUUCCUAUCUUCAUGGCAUCUUUCAGAUUUCUUUUUUCCCGUAGAUCAUCCCUUUUCUCUCUACAAUCUUCUUUUCCUUUGUCCUUUUCAUCCCAGUCUCUUGGACACUCUUUUUUUCGCUCUCUGCCCCUCUCUCGUUCUCUUUGACGCUCUCUUUCGCGCUCUCUGCGCUCUAAGUCCCGCUCUCUCUCUCGCUCCCUUUCACAUUGUCGUUCUCUCUCGUUCUCUUCCCCGUUCUCGUUCUCUCGCUCGCUCGCUCUUCUAGUUCUCUUUCCCACUCUUUUUCUUUUUUUCUCUCACGCUCACGAGCUCUCUGACGUUCAGACUUGCGCUCUUUUUCUCUCUCUCUUUCCCUCUGCUUGUAAAGGGUGUAUGUGAUGUCAUAGCUGAGUGUAGGACUUUGCACAGCUGUGGAUUUGCUGUACUGCCUGCAGGAGAUUUAAACAGAUGUUUAAAAAAAAA